CACCCCAGAGGGAAUGUCAGUAUCUUCCUGAGAAGUGUUCCUCGCAUGCCGGUUUGGGAAACACGCCUACUGCUGUGCAGGGUGAUGCCGUCAUUCUCCUUGACGCCCACAUCUCUACCUACAGCCCACAUCCCCCUCAGUGCAACCGUUCAGCUCAGAGGUCACCUUCCCUGGGAAACUUCAGGGAGAAACACCCGGCUGGGGUGAGGCGUCUGUGUCCUGUGCUUUCUCCCAGCACCGCAGGGGCUGCGCUGUAGCUGACCUAGGGGCGAGGGGCCGGGCACAGUCCCCCCACCCCCGGUCAGGAACUCAGGAAAAGGAGGCACUAACGUGCAAACCAGACGCCUAACACCCGGGAUUUAAGAGCGCUCCUGUGCUUCUCCCAGCCCG